rnacentral:rRNA from 1 species
UACGAAGGGGGCUAGCGUUGCUCGGAAUGACUGGGCGUAAAGGGCGCGUAGGCGGAUGGUACAGUCAGAUGUGAAAUUCCCGGGCUCAACCUGGGGGCUGCAUUUGAUACGUGCUGUCUUGAGUUCGGAAGAGGGUCGUGGAAUUCCCAGUGUAGAGGUGAAAUUCGUAGAUAUUGGGAAGAACACCGGUGGCGAAGGCGGCGACCUGGUCCGAGACUGACGCUGAGGCGCGAAAGCUAGGGGAGCAAACAGG